rnacentral:rRNA from 1 species
UUUGAAAUCUGGUACCUUCGGUGCCCGAGUUGUAAUUUGUAGAGGGCGACUUUGGGGCGGCUCCUUGUCUAUGUUCCUUGGAACAGGACGUCAUAGAGGGUGAGAAUCCCGUGUGGCGAGGAGUGCGGUUCCGUGUAAAGCGCUCUCGAAGAGUCGAGUUGUUUGGGAAUGCAGCUCUAAGUGGGUGGUAAAUUCCAUCUAAAGCUAAAUAUUGGCGAGAGACCGAUAGCGAACAAGUACAGUGAUGGAAAGAUGAAAAGAACUUUGAAAAGAGAGUGAAAAAGUACGUGAAAUUGUUGAAAGGGAAGGGCAUUUGAUCAGACAUGGUGUUUUGCGCCCCCCGCUCCUUGUGGGUGGGGGACUCUCGCAGCUCACUGGGCCAGCAUCAGUUUUGGCGGCCGGACAAAACUGCAGGAACGUAGCUUGCUUCGGGAAGUGUUACAGCCUGCAGGAAUACGGCCAGCCGGGACUGAGGAAUGCGAUUCGUCAAGGAUGCUGGCAUAAU